GACGAACGCUGGCGGCGUGCUUAACACAUGCAAGUCGAACGGAAAGGCCCUGCUUUUGUGGGGUGCUCGAGUGGCGAACGGGUGAGUAACACGUGAGUAACCUGCCCUUUACUUUGGGAUAACUUCAGGAAACUGGGGCUAAUACCGGAUAGGAGCUCCUGCUGCAUGGUGGGGGUUGGAAAGUUUCGGCGGUUGGGGAUGGACUCGCGGCUUAUCAGCUUGUUGGUGGGGUAGUGGCUUACCAAGGCUUUGACGGGUAGCCGGCCUGAGAGGGUGACCGGCCACAUUGGGACUGAGAUACGGCCCAGACUCCUACGGGAGGCAGCAGUGGGGAAUAUUGCACAAUGGGAGGAAGCCUGAUGCAGAAACGCCGCGUGCGGGAUGACGGCCUUCGGGUUGUAAACCGCUUUCGCGUGUGACGAAGCGUGAGUGACGGUAAUGGGUAAAGAAGCACCGGCUAACUACGUG
rnacentral:rRNA from 1 species